rnacentral:ncRNA from 1 species
UAGAAGCUGAUGGUGGUGAGAUACCCGCUGAUUUAAGCAUAUAGUAGCGGAGGAAAGAACUAACUAGGAUCCUUAGUAUGCGAAUGAACAGGGAUCAGCUCAGUGCCAAAUCGGAAUCACUUGUGGUUCUGAAAUGUGGCUUGAAGGCAGUACCAGUGGCAUCGCGGACGAAAGUCUCUUGGAAAAGAGCGUCAUAGAGGGUGAGAAUCCCGUGAGUCGUUCGCCGUUUGUCACGUACGGUCUGCGUUCUAACGAGUCGCGUUCCUUGGGAUUGGAGCGUAAACGGGUGGUAAAUUUCAUCCAAAGCAAAAUAUAUACUCGAGACCGAUAGCACAAAAGUACCGUGAGGGAAAGGUGAAAAGAACUUUGAGAAGAGGGUUAAAUAGUGCCUGAAAUCGUUGAGAAGGAAGCGGAUGCCGCCGUUGCAUAUGCUGAUUGUAGGAUUGCUGCUCGCUCCUGUCUUCUGCUACUCAUUCACAGACCUGGUCGUGUUGAGCAGUUGUUUGGCAGAUGUUAGUGGUGUUUCCUACUCUCAGUCGUCAGCAUCACUGGCUGAGUGGAAAUAAUCCUUGGAUGCUAAUUGGUUCGCUAUCUGUGAAUUGGUUGCUUCCUUGCGAUACUCACUACUCGGUCAGUGAGGAAGUGCGUUUGCUGGUCAACGAGCUUUCUAACUGUCAUUACCCUGCGCUUUUCGAUUCGUCGAGUGGCCAGGAUGUGGCUUUGAGAUUGUUCGCACUUAGUAAUCGCGAUGCUGGCUUCCAACGGUUGCCUCCGGCCCGUCUUGAAACACGGACCAAGGAGUCUAACGUAUGUGCGAGUGUGUGAGUGGCAAACUUAUACGCGUAAUGAAAGUGAGGCCGUAUGGCCAUGUUGGGGUCACCAACAACCGACCUUGAUCUUCGGUGAAAGGUUUGAGUAUGAGCAUAUCCGUUAGGACCCGAAAGAUGGUGAACUAUGCCUGAGCAGGGUGAAGCCAGGGGAAACUCUGGUGGAGGCUCGUAGCGAUACUGA